rnacentral:rRNA from 1 species
CAGCAGCCACGGUAAUACAGAGGGUGCGAGCGUUAAUCGGAUUUACUGGGCGUAAAGCGUGCGUAGGCGGCUUCUUAAGUCGGAUGUGAAAUCCCUGAGCUUAACUUAGGAAUUGCAUUCUAUACUGGGAAGCUAGAGUAUGUGAGAGGAUGGUAGAAUUCCAGGUGUAGCGGUGAAAUGCGUAGAGAUCUGGAGGAAUACCGAUGGCGAAGGCAGCCAUCUGGCCUAAUACUGACGCUGAGGUACGAAAGCAUGGGGAGCAAACAGGAUUAGAUACCCCUGUAGUCCCUGUCUCUUAUAC